AUCAGGGAUCUUGCGCAAUGGGCGAAAGCCUGACGCAGCGACGCCGCGUGGGUGAAGAAGUCCCUCGGGAUGUAAAGCCCUUUUCGAGAGGAAGAUGAUGACGGUACUCUCGGAAUAAGCCCCGGCUAACUACGUGCCAGCAGCCGCGGUAAUACGUAGGGGGCGAGCGUUGUCCGGAAUUACUGGGCGUAAAGGGCGCGUAGGCGGCGCGUCAAGUCCUCUGUGAAAGCCCGAGGCUCAACCUCGGAGGGACAGGGGAGACUGGCGUGCUUGGGGUCUUGGAGAGGAGUGCGGAAUCCCUGGUGUAGCGGUGGAAUGCGUAGAGAUCAGGGGGAACACCGAUGGCGAAGGCAGCACUCUGGCCAAAGACCGACGCUGAGGCGCGAAAGCUGGGGGAGCGAACGG
rnacentral:rRNA from 1 species